GUCUACAGCCAUACCACCCUGAACACGCCCGAUCUCGUCUGAUCUCAGAAACUAAGCAUGGUCGGGCCUGGUUAGUACUUGGAUGGGAGACCACCUGGGAAUACCGGGUGCUGUAGGCU
rnacentral:rRNA from 1 species